rnacentral:rRNA from 1 species
GGAAUUCGAUUCAGGCCUAACACAUGCAAGUCGAACAGCAGCACGGGAGCAAUCCUGGUGGCGAGUGGAGAACGGGUGAGUAAUAUAUCGGAACGUGCCCAGUGGUGGGGGAUAACGCAGCGAAAGCUGUGCUAAUGCCGCAUACGAUGUAUGGAUGAAAGCGGGGGAUCGCAAGACCUCGCGCGAUUGGAGCGGCCGAUAUCAGAUUAGCUAGUUGGUGGGGUAAAGGCCCACCAAGGCGAUGAUCUGUAGCUGGUCUGAGAGGACGACCAGCCACACUGGAACAGAGACACGGCCCAGACUCCUACGGGAGGCAGCAGUGGGGAAUUUUGGACAAUGGGCGCAAGCCUGAUCCAGCCAAGCCGCGUGCGGGAAGAAGGCCUUCGGGUUGCAAACCGAAGGUGUCAGGGAAGAAAUCUUCUGAGUUAAUACCUCGGGAGGAUGAC